rnacentral:rRNA from 1 species
CAGCAGCCGCGGUAAUACGAAGGGUGCAAGCGUUAAUCGGAAUUACUGGGCGUAAAGCGUGCGUAGGCGGCUUUUUAAGUCGGAUGUGAAAUCCCUGAGCUUAACUUAGGAAUUGCAUUCGAUACUGGGAAGCUAGAGUAUGGGAGAGGAUGGUAGAAUUCCAGGUGUAGCGGUGAAAUGCGUAGAGAUCUGGAGGAAUACCGAUGGCGAAGGCAGCCAUCUGGCCUAAUACUGACGCUGAGGUACGAAAGCAUGGGGAGCAAACAGGAUUAGAUACCCGAGUAGUCCCUGUCUCUUAUAC